rnacentral:pre_miRNA from 1 species
GCGCAGGAAAUAUGUAUGUUCAUGGAUGAUCGCGAAAGUGCCAUGACAUCCAAUCCAUGGCACUUUUGCGAUCAUUCAUGAACAUAUAUCCAAUAGAAAACUG